AUUGAACGCUAGCGGGAGGCCUAACACAUGCAAGUCGAACGGAAACAGAAAUUGCUUGCAAUUUGCUGUCGAGUGGCGAACGGGUGCGUAACGCGUAUGCAAUCUGCCCUUAACAGGGGAAUAGCCCGAAGAAAUUCGGAUUAAUACCCCAUAACAUCACAAAUUCGCAUGUCUUUGUGAUUAAAACUUCGGUGGUUAAGGAUGAGCAUGCGUGACAUUAGUUUGUUGGUGAGGUAACAGCUCACCAAGACUACGAUGUCUAGGGGGUCUGAGAGGAUGGCCCCCCACACUGGUACUGAGACACGGACCAG
rnacentral:rRNA from 1 species